GGCAAUAUUAAAGUAGAUAGUUAUAUAUAUCUUGGAAUUUUCCGGUACUUUUUAGGCGUGCUCCUAAGUUAACGCGCACAUCUUGGUCAAACGAUCCCAUCCCCCUUAUUAAACCAGUAUCCCCUCUGGGAAAUGCGUACACACGUUUUAAUUCUGCAAAUACUCGAA
rnacentral:sRNA from 1 species